UGACUAGUAAAUAGAAUAAUGUUUAUUAUCGAAAUGGUCCCUCGACUAUUGCGAAAUUACUAUUUGGUCCUCGACAAUUUUUCGUGCCUAAUUAAGUCUCUCAACUUUGAAAAUGUUAAUCAUUUUGGUCAUCCGUUAGUUUAGGUGUUAGAAGUCUC